CGGAGGAUCCAAGCGUUACCCGGAAUUAUUGGGCGUAAAGAGUUGCGUAGGCGGUUUGUUAAGUGGAAUGUGAAAUCUCUUGGCUCAACUGAGAGGGUAUGUUCCAAACUAGCAAACUAGAGGAUGGUAGAGGCGAGUGGAAUUUGCAGUGUAGGAGUGAAAUCCGUAGAUAUUGCAAGGAACACCAAUGGCGAAGGCAGCUCGCUGGGCCAUUCCUGACGCUAAGGCACGAAAGCGUGGGGAGCGAACCGGAUUAGAUACCCGGGUAGUCCACGCCGUAAACGAUGGAUGCUAGCUGUUGGCCGUAUCGACCCGGUCAGUAGCGAAGCUAACGCGUUAAGCAUCCCGCCUGGGGAGUACGAGCGCAAGCUUA
rnacentral:rRNA from 1 species